AUGAACGCUGGCGGCGUGCCUAAUACAUGCAAGUCGAGCGAACGGACGAGAAGCUUGCUUCUCUGAUGUUAGCGGCGGACGGGUGAGUAACACGUGGAUAACCUACCUAUAAGACUGGGAUAACUUCGGGAAACCGGAGCUAAUACCGGAUAAUAUUUUGAACCGCGUGGUUCAAAAGUGAAAGACGGUCUUGCUGUCACUUAUAGAUGGAUCGCGCUGCAUUAGCUAGUUGGUAAGGUAACGGCUUACCAAGGCAACGAUGCAUAGCCGACCUGAGAGGGUGAUCGGCCACACUGGAACUGAGACACGGUCCAGACUCCUACGGGAGGCAGCAGUAGGGAAUCUUCCGCAAUGGGCGAAAGCCUGACGGAGCAACGCCGCGUGAGUGAUGAAGGUCUUCGGAUCGUAAAACUCUGUUAUUAGGGAAGAACAUAUGUGUAAGUAACUGUGCACAUCUUGACGGUACCUAAUCAGAAAGCCACGGCUAACUACGUG
rnacentral:rRNA from 1 species